rnacentral:rRNA from 1 species
GAAACGAUGCUAAGACUGGAUAGGAAAUAAAAAGGCAUCUUUUUAUUUUUAAAAGACCUUUUUCGGAAGGUAUGCUUAAAGAGGGGCUUGCGUCACAUUAGUUAGUUGGCAGGGUAAAGGCCUACCAAGACUAUGAUGUGUAGCUGGACUGAGAGGUUGAACAGCCACAUUGGGACUGAGACACGGCCCAAACUCCUACGGGAGGCAGCAGUAGGGAAUUUUCGGCAAUGGAGGAAACUCUGACCGAGCAACGCCGCGUGAACGAUGAAGUAUUUCGGUAUGUAAAGUUCUUUUAUUGAAGAAGAAAAAAUAGUGGAAAAACUAUCUUGACGAUAUUCAAUGAAUAAGCCCCGGCAAACUAUGUGCCAGCAGCCGCGGUAAUACAUAGGGGGCGAGCGUUAUCCGGAAUUAUUGGGCGUAAAGGGUGCGUAGGCGGUUUAAUAAGUCUAUAGUUUAAUUUCAGUGCUUAACACUGUCCUGCUAUAGAAACUAUUAGACUAGAGUGAGAUAGAGGCAAGUGGAAUUCCAUGUGUAGCGGUAAAAUGCGUAAAUAUAUGGAGGAACACCAGAGGCGUAGGCGGCUUGCUGGGUCUUUACUGACGCUGAGGCACGAAAGCGUGGGGAGCAAACAGGAUUAGAUACCCUGGUAGUCCACGCCGUAAACGAUGAGUACUAAGUGUCGGGAUUACUCGGUACUGAAGUUAACACAUUAAGUACUCCGCCUGAGUAGUACGUACGCAAGUAUGAAACUUAAAGGAAUUGACGGGACUCCGCACAAGCGGUGGAUCAUGUUGUUUAAUUCGAAGAUACACGAAAAACCUUACCAGGUCUUGACAUACUCUGCAAAGCUAUAGCAAUAUAGUGGAGGUUAUCAGGGAUACAGGUGGUGCAUGGUUGUCGUCAGCUCGUGUCGUGAGAUGUUAGGUUAAGUCCUAAAACGAGCGCAACCCUUGUCAUUAGUUGCCAGCAUGUCAUGAUGGGCACUUUAAUGAGACUGCCAAUGAAAAAUUGGAGGAAGGUGAGGAUCACGUCAAAUCAUCAUGCCCCUUAUGAUCUGGGCUACAAACGUGAUACAAUGGCUGUUACAAAGAGUAGCUGAAACGCAAGUUUAUAGCCAAUCUCAUAAAAGCAGUCUCAGUUCGGAUUGAAGUCUGCAACUCGACUUCAUGAAGUUGGAAUCGCUAGUAAUCGCGAAUCAGCAUGUCGCGGUGAAUACGUUCUCGGGGUUUGUACACACCGCCCGUCAAACC